rnacentral:rRNA from 1 species
CCUACGGGGGGCUGCAGUGGGGAAUUUUGGACAAUGGGCGCAAGCCUGAUCCAGCCAUUCCGCGUGAGUGAAGAAGGCCUUCGGGUUGUAAAGCUCUUUCGCCAGGGAAGAAAACUUAUCCUCUAACAUAGGAUGAGGUUGACGGUACCUUGAUAAGAAGCACCGGCUAACUACGUGCCAGCAGCCGCGGUAAUACGUACGGAGCGAGGGUUCAUCGGGAUUGCUGGGCGUAAUUUGUAAGCCAGCUGUGAAAUCCCCGGGCUCAACUUGGGAACUGCGGUUGAAACUACAAGACUAGAAUAGGGCAGAGGGGGGUAGAAUUCCACGUGUAGCAGUGAAAUGCGUAGAGAUGUGGAGGAAUAUCAAUGGCGAAGGCAGCCCCCUGGGAUCAGAUUGACGCUCAUGCACGAAAGCGUGGGGAGCAAACAGGAUUAGAUACCCUAGUAGUC